AUGACGGAGGACGACCGCUCCGGCCUCCCGCUGAUCCUUAGCGAGGUCGUCCACAUAGCGGUCAUCGAGGUGAACGAGGAGGGCACCAGGGCCGCGGCCGCCACCAUGUGUCUUAUGGAGGAGGGGCAACCGCCACCGGUGGUGGAUUUUGUCUCCGAUCAUCCGUUUGCCUACUUCAUUGUGGACGAGGGGACCGGCGCCGUCGUCUUCGCCGGCCAUGUCCUCGAUCCCUCGACACAAUAG
rnacentral:rRNA from 1 species